UUGCUGGCUGGAUUUCACACCAUUUGCCACCACUCUCUGAGCCCGGCCGAGAUUUCUGCUUGUAUAUUUGACCACCAGAGUACUGUACAAAGUGAAUCCAAGAUCUCCUCUUGAUAGCAAUAGCUACUUUAGAGCACGUAAUAAUAUAUGUCUGUAUUCCUAUGUGAUUUAUCUUAAAUCUAUCAGCACUGAAUUGUGUCUGCCUUUUAAAGUCCAGCCAGUUUCAUGGGUGGCUACUGAAUUCCAUGCACUCAGCUUUAGUUUAACAGCUAUUACUGUUAAUUCUGUAUUGUCAAUAAACAUUUGAAUUUUCUUACCUCCUAGAUAAAGAGUACACACAAGAUCAAUUACAUUCACCCAGCUCUGAGUAGUGAAAAUGAUUUUGGGGAUAAAAUUCAUCAGAAACACCUGUGCAAAAUAUCUGAGGAAUUUUUUUUUUUUUUUUUCAAGCUUCUACCUCAGUGUCUUGCUCCAGCAACAAUGAUAAAAAAAGAGAGAUCUGCUUCUGGAUUUUUGUUGGCCAGGACAAUUUGUCUGAAGUGCCUCUGCCCAUUUCUGCUGUGCUGGGCCAGAAGAACAUCCUGAGCCACAGACAAUGAAUCUGCUCCAGGAGACACUGAACUGCAGGCACAGCCUGAGGAGACCUAACCACAGCCAUGUCCCUGACUGCAGGUGCAGGCACUGGGCUCCUGACUGCAGGAUGUGUGCACUGGAGGAGGGAAGCCACGGCACCAUAACCAGAUUGACAAAUGGGACAGUGUUUAUUGAACCAAGAACUUCCUGGAGAGAUAAGCCUGAAGAUUUGGGAGCAAAGGAAUUUCAUGCUGUUGUUCAUUUCCAUGAGUUCUUGGCUACAAGUUACUUCUCAACAGCAAAGAAUUUGCUGAAAAAGACUACCCACUGA
rnacentral:lncRNA from 1 species